GGCUCUGUGGUGAAAUUCAUGUUGAGUUGCAAGCUCAUCGAUGUGUGCUAAGAGCGUGCCAGAGCCU
rnacentral:tRNA from 1 species